GUUGGGGGGAUACCGAAAGUCUUUGAGACAGUUAUUGAGGAAACACUGAGCAGACCCUCAGGACCCCUCUUGGAAAACAUGAUCCAGUGGAUGGGCCACCUGCAGAGAACUGCUGGUGCCACUUCAGCCAGCUUCAACCUUGCCAUCGUCACCCACGGCCUGCCCAUCAUUCCUGCAGUCAAAAAGUGCCAUGGAGCACCCGCCGUGGUCCAGCUCACUGGGAGCUGGGGUGUGGGUAGCUCCACAGGCCUGCCUGCCCUGUGGACACACACUGCAGGGCCCACAGCACAGAUGACCACUGAACACGUCCACAAAGGGGUCCUUAGAUGCAUGGGGCUUGUUGCUCCUUCAAGGGAAGAGCAACAAGGGGCCAGAAAGGGACAAUUCAUGGGUAAGGAAACCAACCAGCCUUGAAGGUACCAGGCAAAGGAAGAUCAGGUGGCAGUUCUGCCCAGAAAGUGUCUCUUGGCUCCAGGAUCGGCUGCCUGGCAGCUGUUGAUACCACAAGAGACUAAGCUGUAACCAGGACACUUAUAAACUGGUUUUAUUUGCUAAUUACACUCACGUGUUGCUUAAC
rnacentral:lncRNA from 1 species